rnacentral:lncRNA from 1 species
AUUUUUAUUAAUUUAAAAUAAUUAAUUGACAUGUUAUUAUAAUUUAUUAUUUAUAUGUAUAGUUAAUUAUUAUUAUUUUAAAAGUAAAAUAAAACUAAAACUAAAACUAAAAUAAAAUAAGAAAAAAAAAAAAAAGCCUAAAUAAUCUAACAAACCUACCCCACUCCACAACACAAAUCUACACCAAAGUACAACACACACGCAUAGGAAAACAGAAAAAAAGGAACAAAAAAAUCAUUUUUAUUCUUUUCAAAAAAAUAAAAAACCACCAGCAAUAUCAUACACCCCACUAACCUACCCCCCCC